GAUGAACGCUAGCGGGAGGCCUAACACAUGCAAGCCGAGCGGUAGAGUUUCUUCGGAAACUUGAGAGCGGCGCACGGGUGCGUAACACGUGUGCAACCUACCUUUAUCUGGGGGAUAGCCUUUCGAAAGGAAGAUUAAUACCCCAUAAUAUAAUGAUUGGCAUCAAUUAUUAUUGAAAACUCCGGUGGAUAGAGAUGGGCACGCGCAAGAUUAGAUAGUUGGUGAGGUAACGGCUCACCAAGUCAAUGAUCUUUAGGGGUCCUGAGAGGGAGAUCCCCCACACUGAUACUGAGACACGGACCAGACUCCUACGGGAGGCAGCAGUGAGGAAUAUUGGACAAUGGGUGAGAGCCUGAUCCAGCCAUCCCGCGUGAAGGAUGACGGUCCUAUGGAUUGUAAACUUCUUUUGUACAGGGAUAAACCUACCCUCGUGAGGGUAGCUGAAGGUACUGUACGAAUAAGCACCGGCUAACUCCGUG
rnacentral:rRNA from 1 species